GUACGGGAGGCAGCAGUUUCGAAUCAUUCACAAUGGGCGAAAGCCUGAUGGUGCGACGCCGCGUGAGGGAUGAAGGUCUUCGGAUUGUAAACCUCUGUCACUGGGGAAGAAACGCUUUGAGUUAAUAGUUCAAAGCCUGACUUAACCCGGAGAGGAAGCAGUGGCUAACUCUGUGCCAGCAGCCGCGGUAAUACAGAGACUGCAAGCGUUAUUCGGAUUCACUGGGCGUAAAGGGUGCGCAGGCGGCCGUGUGUGUGAGGCGUGAAAGCCCGGGGCUUAACCCCGGAAUUGCACCUCAAACUACAUGGCUAGAGCAUUGGAGAGGGUAGCGGAAUUCACGGUGUAGCAGUGAAAUGCGUAGAUAUCGUGAGGAACACCAGAGGCGAAGGCGGCUACCUGGACAAUUGCUGACGCUCAGGCACGAAAGCGUGGGGAGCAAAAGGGAUUAGAAACCCUUGUAGUCCC
rnacentral:rRNA from 1 species